AGAAUCAACGCUGGCGGCGUGCCUAAUACAUGCAAGUCGAACGAGGUCUUCGGACCGAGUGGCGAACGGGUGAGUAACACGUUGGUACCUACCCCGAAGUGGGGAAUAACUGCCCGAAAGGGUGGCUAAUACCGCAUAAUACCGCAAGGUUAAAGCAGUAAUGCGCUUCGGGAGGGGCCUGCGUCCCAUUAGCUAGUUGGUAGGGUAAUGGCCUACCAAGGCGACGAUGGGUAGCUGGAUCGAGAGGUUGACCAGCCACACUGGGACUGAGAUACGGCCCAGACUCCUACGGGAGGCAGCAGUAAGGAAUCUUCCACAAUGGACGAAAGUCUGAUGGAGCAACGCCGCGUGCAGGAUGACGGCCUUCGGGUUGUAAACUGCUUUUAUAUGGGAAGAUUAUGACGGUACCAUAUGAAUAAGGACCGGCUAACUACGUGCCAGCAGCCGC
rnacentral:rRNA from 1 species